rnacentral:antisense_RNA from 1 species
AGCUAUGGCGGCUGUACACGGGAGGGCUUCGGCCCUGCUGGGUUUUCAGAUAUUCCCCCGGUCUUGCACACCCGUGUCCAGCCGCCACCCCU